rnacentral:misc_RNA from 1 species
UACUGAGUUUACGCUCUAUAACCCUUUGUGAACAUACCUAUAACUGUUGCUUCGGCGGGUAGGGUCUCCGCGACCCUCCCGGCCUCCCGCCCCCGGGCGGGUCGGCGCCCGCCGGAGGAUAACCAAACUCUGAUUUAACGACGUUUCUUCUGAGUGGUACAAGCAAAUAAUCAAAACUUUUAACAACGGAUCUCUUGGUUCUGGCAUCGAUGAAGAACGCAGCGAAAUGCGAUAAGUAAUGUGAAUUGCAGAAUUCAGUGAAUCAUCGAAUCUUUGAACGCACAUUGCGCCCGCCAGCAUUCUGGCGGGCAUGCCUGUUCGAGCGUCAUUUCAACCCUCAAGCUCUGCUUGGUGUUGGGGCCCUACAGCUGAUGUAGGCCCUCAAAGGUAGUGGCGGACCCUCCCGGAGCCUCCUUUGCGUAGUAACUUUACGUCUCGCACUGGGAUCCGGAGGGACUCUUGCCGUAAAACCCCCAAUUUUCCAAAGGUUGACCUCGGAUCAGGUAGGAAUACCCGCUGAACUUAAGCAUAUCAAUAAGCGGAGGAAAAGAAACCAACAGGGAUUGCCUCAGUAACGGCGAGUGAAGCGGCAACAGCUCAAAUUUGAAAUCUGGCCCUAGGCCCGAGUUGUAAUUUGCAGAGGAUGCUUUUGGUGCGGUGCCUUCCAAGUUCCCUAGAACGGGACGCCAGAGAGGGUGAGAGCCCCGUACAGUUGGACACCAAGCCUUUGUAAAGCUCCUUCGACGAGUCGAGUAGUUUGGGAAUGCUGCUCAAAAUGGGAGGUAUAUUUCUUCUAAAGCUAAAUACCGGCCAGAGACCGAUAGCGCACAAGUAGAGUGAUCGAAAGAUGAAAAGCACUUUGAAAAGAGGGUUAAACAGCACGUGAAAUUGUUAAAAGGGAAGCGCUUGUGACCAGACUUGCGUCCGGUGAAUCACCCAGCUCUCGCGGCUGGGGCACUUCGCCGGCUCAGGCCAGCAUCAGCUCGCUGUCGGGGACAAAAGCUUCAGGAACGUAGCUCUCUUCGGGGAGUGUUAUAGCCUGUUGCAUAAUACCCUUCGGCGGGCUGA